UACGAAGGGGGCGAGCGUUGUUCGGAAUCACUGGGCGUAAAGGGCGCGUAGGCGGCCCUCUUAGUCGCGUGUGAAAGCCCCGGGCUCAACCUGGGAACGGCGCGCGAAACGGGAGGGCUGGAGUUCGGGAGAGGAGAGUGGAAUUCCCAGUGUAGAGGUGAAAUUCGUAGAUAUUGGGAAGAACACCGGUGGCGAAGGCGGCUCUCUGGACCGAGACUGACGCUGAGGCUCGAAAGCGUGGGGAGCAAACAGG
rnacentral:rRNA from 1 species